GACGAACGCUGGCGGCGUGCUUAACACAUGCAAGUCGAACGGAAAGGCCCUGCUUUUGUGGGGUGCUCGAGUGGCGAACGGGUGAGUAACACGUGAGUAACCUGCCCUUGACUUUGGGAUAACUUCAGGAAACUGGGGCUAAUACCGGAUAGGAGCUCCUGCUGCAUGGUGGGGGUUGGAAAGUUUCGGCGGUUGGGGAUGGACUCGCGGCUUAUCAUCUUGUGGGUGGGGUAGUGGCUUACCAAGGCUUUGACGGGUAGCCGGCCUGAGAGGGUGACCGGCCACAUUGGGACUGAGAUACGGCCCAGACUCCUACGGGAGGCAGCAGUGGGGAAUAUUGCACAAUGGGCGGAAGCCUGAUGCAGCAACGCCGCGUGCGGGAUGACGGCCUUCGGGUUGUAAACCGCUUUCGCCUGUGACGAAGCGUGAGUGACGGUAAUGGGUAAAGAAGCACCGGCUAACUACGUG
rnacentral:rRNA from 1 species